UGACCCCCAACGUCUCGUUUUAAGUUCCC
rnacentral:piRNA from 1 species